UUAAUUGAAACCAAAUAGCGGUAAAUUAUUGUUAAUAAUUUCAUUGAUAAUUUCCAAUUGAA
rnacentral:tRNA from 1 species